AGGGGUGUAGUACAAUGGUAGUACAGUGGUCUCCAAAACCAUUGACGUGGGUUCAAUUCCUACCACCCCUGCCA
rnacentral:tRNA from 3 species